UGUCAUUGAUCCAGGCAAUGGAGGUA
rnacentral:piRNA from 1 species